GACGAACGCUGGCGGCGUGCUUAACACAUGCAAGUCGAACGGGCCCGCUCUCUUUUUUGGGGGUGGGUUGAGUGGCGAACGGGUGAGUAUCACGUGAGUAACCUGCCCCCUGCUCCUGGAUAACUGCUUGAAAGGGCGGCUAAUACGGGGUGUGCCGGCUGGUCCGCAUGGGCCUGGUCGGGAUAGUUUCAUCUUCGGGUGUUUCGGUGGGGGAUGGGCUCGCGGCCUAUCAGCUUGUUGGUGGGGUGAUGGCCCGCCAAGGCGGUGACGGGUAGCCGGCCUGAGAGGGUGGGCGGCCACACUGGGACUGAGACACGGCCCAGACUCCUGCGGGAGGCAGCAGUGGGGGGUAUUGCACAAUGGGCGGAAGCCUGAUGCAGCGACGUCGCGUGAGGGAUGGAGGCCUUCGGGUUGUGAACCUCUUUCUCCGGUGGUGAAGGCCCUGUCCGUUGCGGCGGGGUUGACGGUAGCCGGGUAUGAAGCGCCGGCUAACUACGUG
rnacentral:rRNA from 1 species